rnacentral:rRNA from 1 species
UACGUAGGGUGCAAGCGUUAAUCGGAAUUACUGGGCGUAAAGCGUGCGCAGGCGGUUAUGUAAGACAGAUGUGAAAUCCCCGGGCUCAACCUGGGAACUGCAUUUGUGACUGCAUAGCUAGAGUACGGUAGAGGGGGAUGGAAUUCCGCGUGUGGCAGUGAAAUGCGUAGAUAUGCGGAGGAACACCGAUGGCGAAGGCAAUCCCCUGGACCUGUACUGACGCUCAUGCACGAAAGCGUGGGGAGCAAACAGG